rnacentral:sRNA from 1 species
UCAUGAACAACGCAAUUAAACACGUUCGCGAAAAUUGACAGCCUCGGAUCAGAGGACCUGCCCAGACGUCUUUUCGUCUUCGCAGAGAUCCCAUGACGUAUUCAAACGCUUUUUUCGAUUAGAACGGAGAACGAAUCACUUGAACAAUCUUGGGUGCGGUGCUUUUCUUGGUCCUCGGACUGUGAUUAGGGUCGCAAUGAUUGAGCAAACAU